AUCAAAUGGAGAGUUUGAUCCUGGCUCAGGAUGAACGCUGGCGGCAUGCCUAAUACAUGCAAGUCGAACGAAGUUUCGAGGAAGCUUGCUUCCAAAGAGACUUAGUGGCGAACGGGUGAGUAACACGUAGGUAACCUGCCCAUGUGUCCGGGAUAACUGCUGGAAACGGUAG
rnacentral:rRNA from 1 species